CUAGCCGUAAACGAUGGAUACUAGGCGUUGUGAGUAUCGACCCUCACAGUGUCGUAGCUAACGCGUUAAGUAUCCCGCCUGGGGAGUACGCGCGCAAGCGUGAAACUCAAAGGAAUUGACGGGGGCCCGCACAAGCGGUGGAGCAUGUGGUUUAAUUCGAUGCAACGCGAAGAACCUUACCAGGACUUGACAUGUCGCGAAUCUCAGGGAAACUUGAGAGUGCCUUCGGGAGCGCGAACACAGGUGGUGC
rnacentral:rRNA from 1 species